rnacentral:rRNA from 1 species
UGAGGAAUAUUGGUCAAUGGACGGAAGUCUGAACCAGCCAUGCCGCGUGCAGGAUGACGGCUCUAUGAGUUGUAAACUGCUUUUGUACGAGGGUAAACUUGAAUACGUGUAUUCAACUGAAAGUAUCGUACGAAUAAGGAUCGGCUAACUCCGUGCCAGCAGCCGCGGUAAUACGGAGGAUCCGAGCGUUAUCCGGAUUUAUUGGGUUUAAAGGGUGCGUAGGUGGUUUUAUAAGUUAGAGGUGAAAGCUAGAUGCUUAACAUUUAAAUUGCCUCUAAUACUGUAGAACUAGAGACUAGUUGCAGAAGGCGGAAUGUGUGGUGUAGCGGUGAAAUGCUUAGAUAUCACACAGAACACCGAUUGCGAAGGCAGCUUUCUAAGCUAUGUCUGACACUGAGGCACGAAAGCGUGGGGAGCAAACA